GCCCACGUGUCAUUGUAAAAGUAAUUUUAUACUUUAGUUAUUUGAUUUAAAAUAUGUAUGAACAUAUUUAGCUUUUACACCAUGUUUUUGGCGAGUUUCGAUAUUAUCGAAGAAAAAUGACGAAAAUGCCCCUAUGAGCCAAAAAAUAAUAUUUUAUUGUUUUGAUUUGGAAACGACUUAUGAUUUCUUGAAAUGCAAGAUUUAAUAACUGUCACUCACCGGGGAGAUGCAGAAGCUGAU
rnacentral:lncRNA from 1 species